AACGCACGAGACCUGCGGACCUGCGGAAGGAUCAUUAUAGAGUUUUCUAAACUCCCAACCCAUGUGAACUUACCUUUUGUUGCCUCGGCAGAAGUUAUAGGUCUUCUUAUAGCUGCUGCCGGUGGACCAUUAAACUCUUGUUAUUUUAUGUAAUCUGAGCGUCUUAUUUUAAUAAGUCAAAACUUUCAGCAAUGGAUCUCU
rnacentral:misc_RNA from 1 species